rnacentral:lncRNA from 1 species
UGGUGAUUAUGGUCUUCAUUGCGCCUGUUUGCAAAUUAGCUAGCAAGUUAGGUAGCGUUGGUCAAAUCUUGUUGCAAAUGCAAACAAAAUAAAUUUACCUUCAGUUUAAAACUGGCUGUACUUCCAAUUUAAUUAGUAGCGAAAGCGAAUAUCACGCUUAUACAGGAUGCUUUCUGGCUAUCAAAAAUAAAGCUGAUGACUAUACCACCUGCUGUCCACAACCGGAAGGGUUUCGGCGCGCUAUUUCUCCAGAACAAACAUACUAUUGGGAGAGAAGUCAUCUGCAGGCAUUGUUGAAGCAGCAUGAAGUGCAGCAGGUCCAUGUCCAGCUGGAAGAGGCUCAAGGACUGCUGAAGGUCAUGACGACAGAGGCAGAUGACCAGAUGAUGAGCGCAGAACUGGAAAAUGUCCUGCAUAUUGUCCCAAAUCACAGCUGCACUGUGGACACGCAACAGUAUUUGACUAACCAGAUCGAGCAGCUCAUAGGGGAGAAUCAGCAACUGAAAGUGGGGAAAUUUAGGGAAGAAUCUUUAUAGAACUUAGACUGUGACAACUAAUUCACAAUAUAGGAUACCUUAGCUAUUAGGUAGUUUCUGUUCAAAUUUGGGCAUUGUUGAUGCUGAAUGGCUGGAACAGGAAGAGCUAUGAAGAUAUAUUCCACAAAUAUGUCCUUUGAUCCAAGCUGAGUGUUUUAUAUUGCACUUCUUCUCGUAAGUGUUUCUUGCAUGUCAUCCGUACUCUAUACUGGUUGGUUUAACAGUCUGCAUUGAGACAGGCAGAGCUCAGACUCAGCAUAAUGGAAGGAGAGAAGGCCUGUCAGCAUGCUGUGCUCUCAGAAAAGAUCUGCAAUGUUGAUCAGCUUAGUUUAGAGAAACAGCAGAUGACCGCUGAGCUGGGAGUGCGGUGUAUGCAGCUUACCCAGCUGAAAGGUACAAACACAGAUUCAUCGAAAUCCCAAACCGCAUACCUGAUAUAAACUGACUUUAAAGUGUGUGUUGAACAAGUACAGUGUCCCUAAAAACUUGAACAUGUAAUUCUUGUGGUUACACUUUAUUUUAUAGUGUCCUUGUUACAGUGUAAUUA